GCCGCUGUAGCUCAGUUGGUAGAGCGGCGCAUUCGUAAUGCGCAGGUCGGGAGUUCGAGUCUCCCCGGCGGCU
rnacentral:tRNA from 1 species